GACGAACGCUGGCGGCGUGCUUAACACAUGCAAGUCGAACGGUAAGGCCCUUUUUUUUUUGGUUGCUCUAGUGGCGUACGGAUGAGUAACACGUGAGUAACCUGCCCUUCCCUUUUGUUUUACUUCACGACACUGGGGCUUGUCCCGGAUAGGAUCUCCUGCUUCUUUGUGGUGGUUGGUCUGUUUCGGCGGUUGGGGAUGUACUCGCGGCUUGUCAGGUUGUUGGUGGGGUAGUGGCUUACCAAGGCUUUGACGGGUAGACGGCCUGAGCGGGUGACCGGCAACAUGGGGACUGAGAUACGGGCCAGACGCCUACGGGAGGCAGCAGUGGGGAAAAGUGCAAAAUGGGCGGAAGCCGGAUGCAGCAACGCCGCGUGCGGGAUGAAGGCCUUCGGGUUGUAAACCGCUUUCGCCUGUGACGAAGCGUGAGUGACGGUAAUGGGUAAAGAAGCACCGGCUAACUACGUG
rnacentral:rRNA from 1 species